UACGGAGGGUGCUAGCGUUGAUCGGAAUUACUGGGCGUAAAGCGCGCGUAGGCGGACCUGCAAGUCGGGGGUGAAAGCCCGAGGCUCAACCUCGGAACUGCCUUCGAUACUGCGGGUCUCGAGUCCGGGAGAGGUGAGUGGAAUUCCUAGUGUAGAGGUGAAAUUCGUAGAUAUUAGGAAGAACACCAGUGGCGAAGGCGGCUCACUGGCCCGGUACUGACGCUGAGGCGCGAAAGCGUGGGGAGCAAACAGG
rnacentral:rRNA from 1 species